GCUGGUGUGGUAUAGUGGAUUGAGUGCUGGACUAGGAGUCCAGGUAGUCCAGGGUUCGAAUCUCCACUCAACCA